GUCUGGAGGCCAUGCUGCUGUCCCGGCUAAGACUGCACAGACACGCAUAAAAAUCAGUGUCUGACAGACACUCGGAGCUGAUGUGCAGUAUCCUCGACUACACAGGAACACAGAGUACAGCGCCAGACAUGCCAGCCAGCAUCAAUUGGCACCAAAAUCACAUAACGGAAGUGACAGGCGGAAAACUCCUCUGUUCAAAAUUGGUCUACUUCAUACAUUUGAUUAAUACAAAUGGUCAGUAAGUUUGACACAAUACCACAUUUUUAGGAUUUUCAUACAUCAUGAUAAUUGAUCGUAUGGUACUGUGGGGGGUUUUAAUACCACUGAUAGAAUGAUAUCAGAUGAGAAUUCAAGUCGGACGCAUCCUUUUUAAGAGCAAUUAACUUAAUUCUCAAGAAAAUGUAACACUGCCAUUCAAAUACAGAACAAUAAAUAACACGGGUCAAAUUUUUACAAUUUUUUUUUUUUAACUGGCAAUUCAAGUACAUUUUUCCUACAUUUUUUUGCACAGAUUCUAAUUCUGCCCGUGUUUUUUUUUCUGGAGCAAAUCACCUUCUCAUUAGGGCUGGGAAUGAACUCGGUUGUGUCAACCACAAAAACGCAUGCCACAAGAUGUUUUUUAAUCUUU